rnacentral:misc_RNA from 1 species
GAUGAAGAACGCAGCGAAAUGCGAUAAGUAAUGUGAAUUGCAGAAUUCAAUGAAUCAUCGAAUCUUUGAACGCACAUUGCGCCCGCCAGUAUUCUGGCGGGCAUGCCUGUUCGAGCGUCAUUUCAACCCUCAGGCCCCCAGUGCCUGGUGUUGGGGAUCGGCCCAGCCUUCCUGUAAGGCCGCCGGCCCCGAAAUCUAGUGGCGGUCUCGCUGUAGUCCUCCUCUGCGUAGUAGCACAACCUCGCAGUUGGAACGCGGCGGUGGCCAUGCCGUUAAACACCCCACUUCUGAAAGUUGACCUCGGAUCAGGUAGUAAUACCCGCUGAACUUAAGCAUAUCAAUAAGCGGAGGA